rnacentral:misc_RNA from 1 species
GAUGAAGAACGUAGUGAAAUGCGAUAAUUAAUGUGAAUUGCAGAAUUCAGUGAAUCAUCGAGUCUUUGAACGCACAUUGCGCCCCCUGGUAUUCCGGGGGGCAUGCCUGUCCGAGCGUCAUUGCUGCCCUCAAGCCCGGCUUGUGUGUUGGGCCCUGCUCCCCCGGGGGCAGGCCCGAAAGGCAGUGGCGGCACCGCGUCCGAUCCUCGAGCGUAUGGGGCUUUGUCACCCGCUCUGUAGGCCCGGCCGGCGCUUGCCGACCCCCAUCAAUCUUUUUUCAGGUUGACCUCGGAUCAGGUAGGGAUACCCGCUGAACUUAAGCAUAUCAAUAAGCGGAGGA